CAGUCGCCACGGGAAUACGUAGGUGGCAAGCGUUGUCCGGAAUUAUUGGGCGUAAAGGGCUCGCAGGCGGUUUCUUAAGUCUGAUGUGAAAGCCCCCGGCUCAACCGGGGAGGGUCAUUGGAAACUGGGAAACUUGAGUGCAGAAGAGGAGAGUGGAAUCCCACGUGUAGCGGUGAAAUGCGUAGAGAUGUGGAGGAACACCAGUGGCGAAGGCGACUCUCUGGUCUGUAACUGGCGCUGAGGAGCGAAAGCGUGGGGAGCGAACAGGAUUAGAUACCCCCGUAGUCCCUGUCUCUUAUAC
rnacentral:rRNA from 1 species